rnacentral:rRNA from 1 species
UACGUAGGGUGCGAGCGUUGUCCGGAAUUAUUGGGCGUAAAGGGCGCGUAGGCGGUGCGGUAAGUCACCUGUGAAAUCUCCUGGCUCAACUGGGAGCUUGCAGGCGAAACUGCCGUGCUGGAGUGUGGGAGAGGUGCGUGGAAUUCCUGGUGUAGCGGUGAAAUGCGUAGAUAUCAGGAGGAACACCUGUGGCGAAAGCGGCGCACUGGACCACAACUGACGCUGAGGCGCGAAAGCUAGGGGAGCAAACAGG